rnacentral:rRNA from 1 species
AGCGAACGCUGGCGGCAGGCCUAACACAUGCAAGUCGAACGAAGUCUUCGGACUUAGUGGCGGACGGGUGAGUAGCACGUGGGAACGUGCCUUUAGGUUCGGAAUAACUCAGGGAAACUUGUGCUAAUACCGAAUGUGCCCUUCGGGGGAAAGAUUUAUCGCCUCUAGAGCGGCCCGCGUCUGAUUAGCUAGUUGGUGAGGUAAAGGCUCACCAAGGCGACGAUCAGUAGCUGGUCUGAGAGGAUGAUCAGCCACAUUGGGACUGAGACACGGCCCAAACUCCUACGGGAGGAAGCAGGGGGGAAUCUUGCGCAAUGGGCGAAAGCCUGACGGAGCCAUGCCGCGUGAAUGAUGAAGGUCUUAGGAUUGUAAAAUUCUUUCACCGGGGACGAUAAUGACGGUACCCGGAGAAGAAGCCCCGGCUAACUUCGUGCCAGCCGCCGCAGUAA